rnacentral:lncRNA from 1 species
UUAAGUCCCUAAAUGUAAUUACUACUGUCCUGCCUUUCAGGUGGGAGCUGAAAUAGAAUAAUUGAAUCCUAGAGUUGGAAGGAACCUUUGAGGUGACCAAGUUUGAGCCCUAUCCAAAAAGCAACACUUGGAUGACAUAACUGCCAGUCAGUCAACAGCAUUGAGAACAUUAAAAACAUUAAUAUUUUGAUCAACAAAGAACUGAGAAGGGGACAAUGAGGUGGCUCAGUGGAUAGAGACUCAGGCCUGGAGUUGGGUUCAAAUGUGGCCUUGGAUACUUCCAAGCUAUACGACCCUGGGCAAGUCACUUUCACCUCAAUUGCCUAGACCUUACUGCUAUUCGAUUCCAAAUCAGAAGGAGUCUGACUUGAAAUUGGAAAGAACUUGGCAGUCUUCUGUGAACCACCAUUCUGUGGCAUUCUGUGAAGGUUCUGAGGCUCACCCAGGCUCCAGAAACCUGGAAAGCACCUGUGACUCAGGCAGUUUUCUGUGUGAGGAGGACCCUGACUGCUACAAUUUUGGGGGAAGACGGAGGUAUGUCACCAUUCACAGCACACAGUGGAAGGAAAUUGGUAAUAAAGAGAUGAUUA